rnacentral:tRNA from 34 species
UCCCCCAUAGUUCAGUUGGUAGAACGGCGGACUGUUAAUCCGUAUGUCACUGGUUCGAGUCCAGUUGGGGGAGCCA